rnacentral:rRNA from 1 species
UACGUAGGAUCCAAGCGUUAUCCGGAAUUACUGGGCGUAAAGCGUACGUAGGUGGGAAUUUAAGUGAGAUGCGAAAUCUGGCGGCUCAACCGUCUAGACUGUAUCUCAUACUGGGUUUCUUGAGGUUGGCAGAGGCAAGUGGAAUUUCCGGUGUAGCAGUGAAAUGCGUAGAGAUCGGAAGGAACACCAAUGGCGAAGGCAGCUUGCUGGGCCACACCUGACACUGAGGUACGAAAGCGUGGGGAGCGAAUGGG